AAAGAAAGAAAGAAAGAAAGAAAGAAAGAAAGAAAGAAAGAAAGAAAGAAAGAAAGAGAGGAAGGGGAAAACAUGGCGUUAUAAUCUUAUGGCACCACCAUUAUAUAUGCAGUCCAUUGUCGACUAAAACGUUAUGGAGCUCACGACUAUACAUAUAUAUAUACAGAGAGGGGGGUCUAACAAAAUGCUUUUCAGAAUUUAUACGUCCUUUCUUAUCUUAUGUUCACACUAAAAACAGUUUUCUUAUUCCAUUUUUCCAACUUCCCAACUUCUUUCCAACUUUCAUCUUAUGAUUUUCUGGACAUCAAAGCUAUCGGGGAUAAUUCAACUCAUCAGUAGAUUUCUGUUCGUUGAACUGAAGCUCUCUCUACUUACAGGUAAAUUGUCUUGUGAUUAUUUCCACAGAACUCUGACGUGGAUAAGACUUGUAUCCAUUUUAUUAUGAUGUUCUUCUUUUUUACAAUUUAGUUCCCCAGAGGGCAAGACCAAGGAUUAUAUCUUUUGUGAUGAUAUGAAUGAUACAUCUUAGCCCCUUUACUUGCUAGAUGACUUCUCUUUAUUUCACAAUCAGAUAAGAACAGAGAAGACUCAAGCUGAUUAGCAGAUUUUUUGUUUUCCUCUCAAACUACAGCUACCUAAGAUCAGAACCCUCUGAUCAUUUGUGCUGCUAUUUUAAGAUCCAGUUUCAUUCUACAACUGGCUGAAGCAUGAAGUCAACUAAAAUAAAGAGAAUUGAGUGGAACUGAACUGAACUGAAGUGAAAUAAUGUGAUUUCCAGUAAACCUGACACCUUAAGGACAGAACAUGAGCCUUGCCCAUCUUCCUCCCAGAGUUCCCAGCACAAUCACCGACUUACACAAUACUCUCAGUGCAUGAGUGAUGAAUUUCACUAACAGCGACCCAUCUCUCUCUACAUAAUCCACUCCGGUUUCACCGGAGCUGAGAGUAUCAUGAAUUACAUCUAUAGAUAGCUGUAAGCUAAUGACCAAAGCACAUAACUGAAUUCAAACAUAUUCUUUAUUGCAGUCAGAUGUGAGAAAACAAAAUUUAGAAGACAAGCCAGAAAGGAAAUGAAGAACAUAAAGAGCCUGAAUUCUC
rnacentral:lncRNA from 1 species